AAAGUCGUAACAAGGUUUCCGUAGGUGAACCUGCGGAAGGAUCAUUAAAGAUUCGACCUUCGGGUCUAUCUCUCUUCAGCUGUGCGCUUUGGCUGCACGCUGUCGAACCUCUCACACCUGUGCACCAUUCGGUUGCGGUUUCGGCUGCUUCCGCUUUUACACAUACAACCACAGUCCAGAAUGUAAAACACGAUAACAAUAACAACUUUCAACAACGGAUCUCUUGGCUCUC
rnacentral:misc_RNA from 1 species